GAUGAACGCUGGCGGCGUGCCUAAUACAUGCAAGUCGAGCGAACAGACGAGGACCUUGCUCCUCUGACGUUAGCGGCGGACGGGUGAGUAACACGUGGAUAACCUACCUAUAAGACUGGGAUAACUUCGGGAAACCGGAGCUAAUACCGGAUAAUAUAUUGAACCGCAUGGUUCAAUAGUGAAAGACGGUUUUGCUGUCACUUAUAGAUGGAUCCGCGCCGCAUUAGCUAGUUGGUAAGGUAACGGCUUACCAAGGCAACGAUGCGUAGCCGACCUGAGAGGGUGAUCGGCCACACUGGAACUGAGACACGGUCCAGACUCCUACGGGAGGCAGCAGUAGGGAAUCUUCCGCAAUGGGCGAAAGCCUGACGGAGCAACGCCGCGUGAGUGAUGAAGGUCUUCGGAUCGUAAAACUCUGUUAUUAGGGAAGAAUAAAUGUGUAAGUAACUAUGCACGUCUUGACGGUACCUAAUCAGAAAGCCACGGCUAACUACGUG
rnacentral:rRNA from 1 species